rnacentral:rRNA from 1 species
CUCCCUGAUGUUAGCGGCGGACGGGUGAGUAACACGUGGGUAACCUGCCUGUAAGACUGGGAUAACUCCGGGAAACCGGGGCUAAUACCGGAUGGUUGUCUGAACCGCAUGGUUCAGACAUAAAAGGUGGCUUCGGCUACCACUUACAGAUGGACCCGCGGCGCAUUAGCUAGUUGGUGAGGUAACGGCUCACCAAGGCGACGAUGCGUAGCCGACCUGAGAGGGUGAUCGGCCACACUGGGACUGAGACACGGCCCAGACUCCUACGGGAGGCAGCAGUAGGGAAUCUUCCGCAAUGGACGAAAGUCUGACGGAGCAACGCCGCGUGAGUGAUGAAGGUUUUCGGAUCGUAAAGCUCUGUUGUUAGGGAAGAACAAGUGCCGUUCAAAUAGGGCGGCACCUUGACGGU